GUGAGGAAUAUUCCGCAAUGGACGAAAGUCUGACGGAGCAACGCCGCGUGAGUGAUGAAGGUUUUCGGACUGUAAAGCUCUGUUGUUUAGGACGAAAGUGCCUGUUGCAAAUAGUUACAGGUAUUGACGGUACUGAACGAGGAAGCCACGGCUAACUACGUGCCAGCAGCCGCGGUAAUACGUAGGUGGCAAGCGUUGUCCGGAAUUAUUGGGCGUAAAGAGCAUGUAGGCGGGAAUCUAAGUCUGUUGUGAAAAUGCGGGGCUCAACCCCGUAUUGCGAUGGAAACUGGGUUUCUUGAGUGCAGGAGAGGAAAGGGGAAUUCCCAGUGUAGCGGUGAAAUGCGUAGAUAUUGGGAGGAACACCAGUGGCGAAGGCGCCUUUCUGGACUGUGUCUGACGCUGAGAUGCGAAAGCCAGGGUAGCGAACGGGAUUAGAAACCCCAGUAGUCC
rnacentral:rRNA from 1 species